GGUGGUGCAUGGUUGUCGUCAGCUCGUGUCGUGAGAUGUUGGGUUAAGUCCCGCAACGAGCGCAACCCUUAUUGUUAGUUGCCAUCAUUCAGUUGGGCACUCUAGCGAGACUGCCGGUGACAAACCGGAGGAAGGUGGGGAUGACGUCAAAUCAUCAUGCCCCUUAUGACCUGGGCUACACACGUGCUACAAUGGACGAUACAAAGAGUCGCAAACUCGCGAGGGUAAGCUAAUCUCAUAAAAUCGUUCUCAGUUCGGAUUGUAGGCUGCAACUCGCCUACAUGAAGCUGGAAUCGCUAGUAAUCGUAGAUCAGCAUGCUACGGUGAAUACGUUCCCGGGUCUUGUACACAC
rnacentral:rRNA from 1 species